AACGAACGCUGGCGGCAGGCCUAACACAUGCAAGUCGAGCGAGACCUUCGGGUCUAGCGGCGGACGGGUGAGUAACGCGUGGGAACGUGCCCUUUGCUACGGAAUAGCCCCGGGAAACUGGGAGUAAUACCGUAUGUGCCCUUCGGGGGAAAGAUUUAUCGGCAAAGGAUCGGCCCGCGUUGGAUUAGGUAGUUGGUGGGGUAAUGGCCUACCAAGCAGACGAUCCAUAGCUGGUUUGAGAGGGUGAUCAGCCACACUGGGACUGAGACACGGCCCAGACUCCUACGGGAGGCAGCAGUGGGGAAUCUUAGACAAUGGGGGAAACCCUGAUCUAGCCAUGCGGCGUGAGCGAUGAAGGCCUUAGGGUUGUAAAGCUCUUUCAGGUGGGAAGAUAAUGACGGUACCACCAGAAGAAGCCCCGGCUAACUCCGUGCCAGCAGCCGCCGUAA
rnacentral:rRNA from 1 species